rnacentral:rRNA from 1 species
GCUGGCGGCAGGCCUACACAUGCAGUCGAGCGGUAGAGAGAAGCUUGCUUCUCUNGAGAGCGGCGGACGGGUGAGUAAUGCCUAGGAGUCUGCCUGGNANUGGGGGAUAACGCUCGGAAACGGACGCUAAUACCGCAUACGUCCUACGGGAGAAAGCAGGGGACCUUCGGGCCUUGCGCUAUCAGAUGAGCCUAGGUCGGAUUAGCUAGUUGGUGAGGUAAUGGCUCACCAAGGCGACGAUCCGUAACUGGUCUGAGAGGAUGGUCAGUCACACUGGAACUGAGACACGGUCCAGACUCCUACGGGAGGCAGCAGUGGGGGAUAUUGGACAAUGGGCGAAAGCCUGAUCCAGCCAUGCCGCGUGUGUGAAGAAGGUCUUCGGAUUGUAAAGCACUUUAAGNUGGGAGGAAGGGCAUUAACCUAAUACGUUAGUGUUUUGACGUUACCGACAGAAUAAGCACCGGCUAACUCUGUGCCAGCAGCCGCGGUAAUACAGAGGGUGCAAGCGUUAAUCGGAAUUACUGGGCGUAAAGCGCGCGUAGGUGGUUUGUUAAGUUGGAUGUGAAAUCCCCGGGCUCAACCCUGGGAACUGCAUUCAAACUGACAAGCUAGAGUAUGGG